AACGCGAAGAACCUUACCUGGGCUCGAAAUGCAGGAGACCGGGGUAGAAAUAUCCUUUCCCCGCAAGGGGCUGCUGUAUAGGUGCUGCAUGGCUGUCGUCAGCUCGUGUCGUGAGAUGUUGGGUUAAGUCCCGCAACGAGCGCAACCCUCAUCCCUAGUUGCCACCGGGUAAUGCCGAGCACUCUAGUGAAACCGCCCCGGAUAACGGGGAGGAAGGUGGGGAUGACGUCAAGUCCUCAUGGCCUUUAUGUCCAGGGCCACACACGUGCUACAAUGGGCGGUACAAAGCGCUGCCAACCCGCGAGGGGGAGCUAAUCGCCAAAAACCGUCCUCAGUUCGGAUUGCAGGCUGCAACUCGCCUGCAUGAAGCUGGAAUCGCUAGUAAUGCUAUAUCAGAACGAUAGCGUGAAUACGUUCCGGGCCUUGUACACACCGCAUAC
rnacentral:rRNA from 1 species